rnacentral:lncRNA from 1 species
UAUAUAUGAUGGCUAAUCACUCUAUUUUGAACUUUAUAUAUAAUAAAUAAAUAUUUAAAAAACCCUUAUCUUCUAUUUCUAUCAAGUAAAAAUGGCUAUGGAGUUAUAGAAUCAUUAACAAAAAAGGAAAAUAUGCAGUUUAAACACCAAAAAACCAUUGCGUACGUCGAUAAAAAUGUUGAUAAAAAAUCUCCAGUUAUGAGGCACAAACUCCAGCUGAAAAUUUCUAAAUCUCCAGUUGUGACUUGACAACUCUGUCACAUGUCUCAGACAUGACAGACAUUCUCAAAGAUUGUGCACUAAUUAAAAAUCGUAUUUGUUUAGAUAAUUCAAACAUCAAUAUGCAAUACUUUAAUUUGUAGGUCAUCAACUUUCAAAGUAAACAAAGUCCGAGGGCUACAUGAGAUUGGGGA